rnacentral:tRNA from 1 species
GAGGGUAUAGCUCAGUGGUAGAGUGCAUGUUUAGCAUGCACAAGGUCCUGGGUUCAAUCCUCAGUACCUCCA